GAGGAUAAUAAAGAUGCUGCUACGUAA
rnacentral:sRNA from 1 species